rnacentral:rRNA from 1 species
UACGUAGGGGGCAAGCGUUGUCCGGAUUCAUUGGGCGUAAAGAGCGUGUAGGCGGCCAGGUAGGUCGGUUGUGAAAACUGGAGGCUCAACCUUCAGAGGUCGACCGAAACCAUCUGGCUAGAGUCCGGGAGAGGAGAGUGGAAUUCCUGGUGUAGCGGUGAAAUGCGCAGAUAUCAGGAAGAACACCCGUGGCGAAGGCGGCGUCUCUGGGACGGUACUGACGCUGAGACGCGAAAGCGUGGGGAGCGAACAGG